rnacentral:rRNA from 1 species
UACGUAGGUGGCAAGCGUUGUCCGGAUUUACUGGGCGUAAAGGGAGCGUAGGCGGACUUUUAAGUGGGAUGUGAAAUACCCGGGCUCAACCUGGGUGCUGCAUUCCAAACUGGAAGUCUAGAGUACAGGAGGGGAAAGUGGAAUUCCUAGUGUAGCGGUGAAAUGCGUAGAGAUUAGGAAGAACACCAGUGGCGAAGGCGACUUUCUGGACUGUAACUGACGCUGAGGCUCGAAAGCGUGGGGAGCAAACAGGAUUAGAUACCCUGGUAGUCCCUGAG